UUCAUGAAGCAUCUGGUCUGAAUCAUGUG
rnacentral:piRNA from 1 species